rnacentral:misc_RNA from 1 species
GGAAAUCUCGAGACACUAACUUGAACACCAAAGGACCCUUUCUAGCAAUAGAAAGUACUUGAUAUAAAUCCUAGUCUACAAUAAACAUUAAAAUUGGCACCCUUAAGUACUAAUUCCUAUUCAAAGAAAUUUUCAACUCUUUUGAAGCUGGCAAAAAGUGCACAUUGAUAUUCAAGAAAUCUUCAUGUGGAUAAUCCAUUGUACAUGUGAAGAUUAAUCAAGGAAACAGAGUGAGAAAGCCACAGAAAUAUCACCAUGUCAAAUUCAAGCUACCAUCUACGUGGAGUCUAUAUAAAACUAUAGUAUUAGAAAUCCAAGAUAAUGCAAGUGCACAGCAUACAGGUUUCAUAAAAGAACUAAUUUUCCAUACUUGAGACUCAAUUGCCACACUC